rnacentral:tRNA from 1 species
GCCGAAGUGGCGAAAUUGGCAGACGCACUUGACUCAAAAUCAAGCGGUAGCAAUACCGUGCCGGUUCGAGUCCGGCCUUCGGCACCA